UACAGGAGUCAUCAGCGUUGUUCGGAUUCAUUGGGCGUAAAGGGUGCGUAGGCGGCGCGGUAAGUCGGGUGUGAAAUCUCGGGGCUUAACUCCGAAACUGCAUUCGAUACUGCCGUGCUUGAGGACUGGAGAGGAGACUGGAAUUUACGGUGUAGCGGUGAAAUGCGUAGAUAUCGUAAGGAAGACCAGUGGCGAAGGCGGGUCUCUGGACAGUUCCUGACGCUGAGGCACGAAGGCCGGGGAGCAAACGGG
rnacentral:rRNA from 1 species